AUUGAACGCUGGCGGCAUGCCUUACACAUGCAAGUCGAACGGUAACGCGGGGUAACCUGGCGACGAGUGGCGAACGGGUGAGUAAAGCAUCGGAACGUGCCCAGUAGUGGGGGAUAGCCCGGCGAAAGCCGGAUUAAUACCGCAUACGACCUAAGGGUGAAAGCGGGGGAUCGCAAGACCUCGCGCUCACGGAGCGGCCGAUGGCAGAUUAGGUAGUUGGUGGGAUAAAAGCUUACCAAGCCGACGAUCUGUAGCUGGUCUGAGAGGACGACCAGCCACAGUGGGACGGAGACACGGCCCAGACUCCUACGGGAGGCAGCAGUGGGGAAUUUUGGACAAUGGGCGCAAGCCUGAUCCAGCCAUGCCGCGUGCAGGAUGAAGGCCUUCGGGUUGUAAACUGCUUUUGUACGGAACGAAAAGACUCUGGUUAAUACCUGGGGUCCAUGACGGUACCGUAAGAAUAAGCACCGGCUAACUACGUGCCAGCCGCCGCCGUAAUAC
rnacentral:rRNA from 1 species